rnacentral:tRNA from 1 species
UGCGGGGUGGUGAAGUGGACUAACACAUCGGGUUCAUAUCCCGACAAUCGCGGGUUCGAAUCCCGCCCCCGCUUCCA